UAUAUGUGUGGAUGAGAUGGCUCUUUCUUCAAAGUCUUCCAUGAAAAUGUCUGCUAAGAUUGGAGAGAGUGGUGACCCUAUGGCUAGACCAUCUGUUUGUUCAUAGAAUUCCUCGUUGUAUUGGAAAUAAGUUGAUUAGUUUUCAUCACCA
rnacentral:lncRNA from 1 species